rnacentral:lncRNA from 1 species
AUGAAGCUUAUUAUGAAAGUAAAAGCAAUCUUACACUCUUGUGCUGUUUGUAGUCCUUCACUCCAGACAGAGGUACACCACCUAACACAAAGAACAGCUGCAGUUCUGCGGUCAGCUGCAGCUGCUGAGGAUCUGGGAAUCUCAUUGCUGCUCUCUUUGUUCGGGCCCAGAGGUUCCUCUUCUGCUGCACUUACCCUGAGGACUGGGGCUGAUCAUGCUGAGAUUUGGGCAGCACCUCAUCAAGCCCUCGGUGGUGUUCCUGAGGACGGAGCUGUGCUUUGCCCUGGUGAACCGCAGGCCGGUGGUGCCAGGACGUAUCCUUUCCACAGCCGAUCCUGGGAAAAGCAGCACACGCUCGGGGAGCUUGGAAGGCCAGGUAGGAUGGAAUAAUAUUCCUGGUUUAUUCCAAAAACCAGGCAGUGAUGCUUGAUCAGAAGAUGCUUG